rnacentral:tRNA from 1 species
GCGCCCAUAGCUCAGUUGGAUAGAGCAGUUGACUUCUAAUCAACAGGUCGUAGGUUCGAAUCCUACUGGGCGUG